rnacentral:rRNA from 1 species
CAUGUCCUUUAGAUUUUAAUUUGAGGUUUAAUCUGCUCAAUGAUAAUUUUAAAUAGCCGCAGUAUUUUGACUGUGCGAAGGUAGCAUAAUAAUUAGUUUUUUUAUUGAAAGCUGGAAUGAAUGAUUGGACGGAGGAUUGACUGUCUCUCUGGAAUUUAUUUUGAAUUUAACUUUUGAGUCAAAAGGCUUAAAUUAUUUUUAAAGACGAGAAGACCCUAUAGAGUUUAACAUAUUUUUAUCAUAAAAUUAUUUGGGAUACAUUUUAUUUUUUGGUUAGUUUGUUUGGUUGGGGUGAUCAGAAGAUUUAAUUAACUCUUCUAUGGUUUUGUUACUGAUUAGUAUACUUUUUUUCUAUAAUUUUUAAGUUUAAAUUAAAUUACCUUAGGGAUAACAGCGUUAUUCCCCUUUAGAGUUCUUAUUGAUAGGGGAGUUUGCGACCUCGAUGUUGGAUUAAAAUUUAUGUUGGGCGCAGUAGCUCAUACAACUAAGUCUGUUCGACUUUUGGAAUUUUACAUGAUCUGAGU